UGUGGGAGCUGGCUUGCCUGCGAUACAGGCACUGCGGUGAUUCAACCACACCGCCGUGAUGCUAUCGCAGGCAAGCCAGCUCCCACA
rnacentral:misc_RNA from 1 species